CCGGCAGCCCGAGUGGUGAUCACUAUUAUUGGGUCUAAAGGGUCCGUAGCCGGUUUAAUCAGUCUUCUGGGAAAUCUAAUCGCUUAACUAUUAGGCUUCCAGGGGAUACUGUUAGACUUGGGACCGGGAGAGGUAAGAGGUACUGCAGGGGUAGGAGUGAAAUCUUGUAAUCCCUGUGAGACCACCAGUGGCGAAGGCGUCUUACCAGAACGGGUCCGACGGUGAGGGACGAAAGCUGGGGGCACGAACCGGAUUAGAUACCCGGGUAGUCCCAGCUGUAAACGAUGCUCGUUAGGUGUCAGGAACGGUGCGACUGUUUCUGGUGCCGAAGGGAAGCCGUGAAACGAGCCACCUGGGAAGUACGGCCGCAAGGCUGAAACUUAAAGGAAUUGGCGGGGGAGCACUACAACGGGUGGAGCCUGCGGUUUAAUUGGACUCAACGCCGGAAAACUCACCGGGGGCGACAGCAAUAUGUAGGUCAGGUUAAAGGUCUUACCUGAAUCGCUGAGAGGAGGUGCAUGGCCGUCGUCAGUUCGUACUGUGAAGCAUCCUGUUAAGUCAGGCAACGAGCAAGACCCGUGCCCACUGUUACCAGCAUAUCCUUUAUGGAUGAUGGGGACUCUGUGGGGACCGCUGCUGCUAAAGCAGAGGAAGGUGCGGGCUACGGUAGGUCAGUAUGCCCCGAAUCUCCCGGGCUACACGCGGGCUACAAUGGUUGGGACAAUGGGUAUCUACUCCGAAAGGAGUUGGCAAUCUCUUAAACCCAAUCGUAGUUCGAAUUGAGGGCUGUAACUCGCCCUCAUGAAGCUGGAAUCCGUAGUAAUCGCGUUUCAACAUAGCGCGGU
rnacentral:rRNA from 1 species